UAUGGCUUUUACCUGACUUCUGGCUUGUGCCUCCCCACUUUUCCUGCUUCAGUUUAACAUUCUGCACUUCUAUAAUAAGGAGUUGCCACAGACGCUCGGAUGAUUCAUUCUCCCACUCCUAAUCUCUUCUCCCUCUGCAACACAUAUCCUCUGAGUAGCAGCUCUGCCAAGUGGGACCAAGUGAAGGGAUGAUGAAUUAAACCACACAGGAAGGAAACUUUAUACUUCAAGGAACAUAAAAUACAGAUCUGAACAAGAUUCCCACAAACACAGAGACACACAGAGAAACAGACACUGUAAGAAACAACCACAAACUGCA